rnacentral:rRNA from 1 species
AUUGAACGCUGGCGGCAUGCCUUACACAUGCAAGUCGAACGGUAACAGGUCUUCGGAUGCUGACGAGUGGCGGACGGGUGAGUAAUACAUCGGAACGUGCCUAGGAGUGGGGGAUAACUACUCGAAAGAGUGGCUAAUACCGAAUGAGAUCUACGGAUGAAAGCAGGGGAUCGCAAGACCUUGUGCUACUAGAGCGGCCGAUGGCAGAGUAGGUAGUUGGUGGGAUAAAAGCUUACCAAGCCGACGAUCUGUAGCUGGUCUGAGGGGACGAUCAGCCACACUGGGACUGGGACACGGCCAGACUCCUACUGGAGGCAGCAGUGGGGAAUUUUGGACAAUGGGCGCAAGCCUGAUCCAGCAAUGCCGCGUGCAGGAUGAAGGCCUUCGGGUUGUAAACUGCUUUUGUACGGAACGAAAAGCCCUGGGUUAAUACCCUGGGGUCAUGACGGUACCGUAAGAAUAAGCACCGGCUAACUACGUGCCAGCAGCCGCGGUAA